rnacentral:rRNA from 1 species
CCUACGGGUGGCAGCAGUGAGGAAUAUUGGUCAAUGGGCGAGAGCCUGAACCAGCCAAGUCGCGUGAGGGAGUACUGCCCUAUGGGUUGUAAACCUCUUUUGUCGGGGAGCAAAAGCCGGACGUGUCCGGCUGUGAGAGUACCCGAAGAAAAAGCAUCGGCUAACUCCGUGCCAGCAGCCGCGGUAAUACGGAGGAUGCGAGCGUUAUCCGGAUUUAUUGGGUUUAAAGGGUGCGCAGGCGGAUUUUUAAGUCAUCGGUAAAAUCGUGGGGCUCAACCCCAUCCAGCCGUUGACACUGGGGAUCUAGAGUGUGCGAGAGGUAUGCGGAAUGCGUGGUGUAGCGGUGAAAUGCAUAGAUAUCACGCAGAACCCCGAUUGCGAAGGCAGCAUACCGGUGCACAACUGACGCUCAGGCACGAAAGCGUGGGUAUCGAACAGGAUUAGAUACCCUAGUAGUC